rnacentral:rRNA from 1 species
GACGAACGCUGGCGGCGUGCCUAAUACAUGCAAGUCGAACGAAGCUGUUUUAACUGGUGCUUGCACCGACUUAAACAACUGAGUGGCGAACGGGUGAGUAACACGUGGGUAACCUGCCCCAAAGCGGGGGAUAACAUUUGGAAACAGAUGCUAAUACCGCAUAACCACAGAAACCACAUGGUUUCUGUGUCAAAGAUGGUUUCGGCUAUCACUUUGGGAUGGACCAGCGGCGUAUUAGCUAGUUGGUAAGGUAAUGGCUUACAAAGGCAAUGAUAGGUAGCCGACCUGGGAGGUUGAUCGGCCACAUUGGAACGGGGACACGGCCAAACUCCUACGGGAGGCAGCAGUAGGGAAUCUUCCACAAUGGACGAAAGUCUGAUGGAGCAACGCCGCGUGAGUGAAGAAGGUUUUCGGAUCGUAAAACUCUGUUGUCAGAGAAGAACGUGUGCGAGAGUAACUGCUCGUGCAGUGACGGUAUCUGGCCAGAAAGCCACGGCUAACUACGUGCCAGCCGCCGCGGUAA